CCUUCUCUGCUUUCUCUUCAUCUUCUCCUUGUUCAACUCUCUCCAAGGCAGGCAAGUCCUCGGCGGAGAUCGGCGGAGGGUCACCGUCAGUCAUCAGAGGUAUUUUCUUGCCGAAGAGCUUGAUGGCGGGAUCCUUACCAGUAUUUUCUUGCAUUUUCUUUUAGUUUCUGGGUAAACGCCCGAGAUAAAUCUCACUGUCUUUGUUGGCAAUCUG
rnacentral:misc_RNA from 1 species